GUUUUGCGUAUGAUAUAAUGGUAUUGCAACCACAAGAUAAUAGGAUCGUAACAAUUUACUGACUACAUAUUAGAAACAUACUUAACCAAAGAUGCAGAGUUUCCACCAUACAUAUGGGCCUAAUUUUUAUCUGUAAAAAUAGUUUUAUUAAUAUUUGUAGUUGAAAUAAUAUUUUUCCAUUUAAAAACCAAAAGUAGGUUUUCGUCUCACCCUCCCC